GUCAUCAGAGCAGGAAAUGUGCUGCUAGCCAUCAGCUGAUUGUCUGUAAGUAAACAUUUCCUUCCCCUGCCUCAGCAAGCCUAGACACUGAAAUACAGUGCCUGAGUGUGUGUGUGUUUGUUUCAUGUGUGUAUGGAUUUGAGCUAUAAUUAGAUUAGCUGUGAUUAAACCCCAGCAGGGUUUCCUAUAGAAGGACAAAGCUAAUUCAAGCUACUUUGUGUUUCCCUGGCCGGACUGUGGAAGGAGUUCGCAACGGCUUGCUUUUCUCACACCAGCUUCCUCUUCCUUCUCAACAAGUGGCAACAGUGCCAAGGAGGAGUAAAAGGUUGAGUGCGUUUACAGGACACAGAAAGCAAGCCUGGCAGAAGAUCACAGAGAGUGUAAUUGGUGGAUAAAAAAAUGCAAGAGGUGUCCAUUUCCAGAAUUUAAAACUUGUUACCAGUUGAUCCCACAGAACUAACAGUCCAAAUGUUGACAUUUCAACACGGUUGCUACAAGGUCAUGUUCCAGAUUGCCGGGCUGUCGGGUUUGUACUGUAAACUCCCAAGUACAAAGUAGCCAAGGGCUUGAAGGGCCACAGUAAAUGUUGUCUUCCUCCUUCCUUUCUCCCUCACUCUAACCAUCAUGGCGUCACAGUUUGUCUUGUUCUCUCCAUUUAUCUGUGUCUUUCUGUCCCCAACUCCCUUCCCUUGGUGGUUCACCCUCCUUUGCCUCCAUUUCAGUUAUGUAACACAAACGGUUCCAUUCUGUCGCUCCCUUCAUUCCUUUUCCCCUCUUUACAGAUCCAAUCUCAAAUGUUAAAUUGAUUUUUUCAACUGCUGCACCCUUUCCCCAGAUCACAAUCAUCGCCUUUAUCUUUUUUUCUCGCCUCGUCUUUUGCACCUGGUGAUGGAGCUCUCAGAGAGAGAGCGAAACGUUGACUGACACACGCAAUAUUUCUAAUUAAACCAGCUACCUCGGUUCCCUUGGUACUAGAUGUCCCUUUUUCUCACCAACAUUUUGUUUUCUUUGAUCCGUUUUUUGUGAAUCAGACACAUAGGGGGAGUGCACAGAAUCAACACAGCCCCCUCUGCAGGGACACCACCACAGUCUGUGCAGAGCGGAACAAAGCCACAGAGAAUGGCAAGGUCACACAGAGGUUGUCCUUAUGUUGUUGCAGACCAGAGUUAAUCUUCCAGGACCUACAUGGAAAAUUGUUCAUGGUAUGGUCUCAAGAGAAAAGAUAGGGCUUAAACUGCAACCACUGACAUCAGUAAGUAGUAUAAAAAAGGUUGUUUUGUGUAAUGUCUCCCUUUCUGAAGGGAACUUGUGAGUCUCCUUUCCUUAUGUACAGGAGGCCCUUGCUGCCACUAAAUCUGUGGUCACACCAGAAUCAUGAUGGCUUGAUUGGCCAAAUGUACAGUGGACACAUGAAGUUUCACAUAAAGUGAAACAGAAUUAGCCUACACGUUUAAGAAUUAAGUAUGCUGCAUUAUGGUACCUAUACCACAUACAUGGUUUUAUACAUGCAAGUCAAGAGCAAUAAAUCACUAAAAAGAAUUCCGCCUUAUGCUACAUCUGCACAUGUUGCACAGUCCUGACAUGCCUGUGUAACUGGAUGUCACACUGCUCAGAGAAUGAACAAAAGGCCAACGUCUUCCCUGCCACGUUUGUAGCCGUUUCCAAAUCCUACGUGAUCCUCAGCAUGGAUUCUGAGCUCUUCAAACACAUUGUUUUCCCUAUUCUCAUGUGUGUCAAAGUAACCCCGGUAUCUCCACCAUCUGAGCUGUGCAUGACAGGUGAGCACGCCCUAUCCCACACUCCCACUUCCUGUUAAUCAAACCUUUUGAUCCUGCCUGUUUCAUCUCCCAGGCUUUGUCCACAACGUAGCCCCCUCUGAUGCACUGGAACAUGACAAAGACAGAUCUGGGAUAUACAUGGUCUGUUUGUGACAUAAUCAGAUUGACAAUGACCUUAGGAAGGUGCUAAGGCGAUGUUGACCUGUUCUGUUCUCCUUUGAAGGUGAGCAGCCGUCCAUGUUUUGCUCCAGUCUUAGGAUGUCUGCAGCCCAGGCUAUAUACAGAGCGGUCUCAAGGAGUCAGUGCUAAGUGGGGAGUGUGAGACUACAGCGUAUCAUCCAUCAUAAAUGACACCCCGUGCCAGACUUUCCCACACAGACCGCUUCAGAGCCCUCCUCCCUGUCAAGAAGUCCAGAACGGACGCAUCGGUCACACACCCGGCCCCACAUUGCUGCUCUGGCUGCACAGGGUCCGGUGACAACCCAGCUCUGAGGCUCCCUCCCACCUCUCAGACCAGAUCAGGUGUGCCUGCCGGGCUUCACAGCCAGCUCCAGGGCGACCAACACACAGCAGCUGGCUGAUGAACCCAGCCUGUCAUCUGGAUGCUGUUUGGCUGACUUAGGUCAUUUACAUACAGUAAUAAAUGAUAGUUUGGAAAUGCAUGCUGGAUUUUAAAGUAGGAGUAUGAAGAGGGUGUUGGAGAGGGUAUAUUGAGGCUGCCUUCUCUUUCUUACUGAUUUUUCAGUGUUUGUUCAGUGUUUUUACUUGUCAUGCUUUGCUGAUGUUUAUCAAGGCAAUAUAAUGCGUUAUAAUCAGUAUGCUAUGCAUUUCCUGGUAUUGACCGACUGAAUGUGUUCCUCUGUCCGCAACAAAUGUACAGAGACGCAUGUUAAAGACAGGACUUCCCAGUGUUAAAUGUCAAGUGUCGGUGCUUUGUCAGUUUGGUAUCCUCUGUGUGAUGGCUGAAUAAGCCAUUCCUAUGAUAGUGUUAUGACAAUGUUAUGACAAUGCCAAUUAGCUACAUGUUUACAAGAGGUCUGGGGCUGAAUAAUGACGUACCAGUAACCGAGUGACAGUAAGUGAAUUAUGAAGAAGGAAAGCAGAUCCCUCUGCAGCGUGCCCUUGCUCAAAUACACAGGGACCUAUACAGUACUGUAUAGGUCGGUCUGGGCUGCGGGCACCGGGUUUAUUUAUGGUUAACAGAACCUGGUUUAACAGAACCUGGUCAAUAGAACCUCCAAUCUUCUAUCUGCUGCUAUUAUAAUGAGCAGAUGCUAUGCCUUCUGUUGUGAGGCAGACCACAUAAUACAGAAUCCUACAUCCAUGGUUUUGUCCUGAGAUGUGAUGAUCUGGAAUUGAAGUGUCAAGCCUAGAUUCCUCCCUAUUCACUCAUUCAAAAUUACACAAAACAUGAAUGGACUGGGGGCAACACAAAAAUGAAAAGGAGCGAAAAUGGCCUUGAAGAGGCCGGUAGGAGGGAGUCCUGGCCCAGCGGUCCUCAUAUGCAUCUGAAUGAACGAUUUGCAAACAGGUUUUUGGGCUGUGAGCCAUGAAACUUAUUUUAGACUGGCAAUGGAAAACUGUCCAGGCGUGAACUAUUGAUAUUCUAUUCAUGUCCUCCAGUGUCUCUCCCAAGAGAAAUUCAGGUCACGUCUAAGCUACUAAAAAUGCUCAUCACGUAGCUAUGUGCAGGACAAUAAACGGCAGUUGAUGCAACACAAAAGUUUUUACUAUUAUCUGUCAUGUU